rnacentral:tRNA from 3 species
GCCUUGGUGGUGGAAUGGUAGACACGACGGAUUCAAAAUCCGUUGCUAGCAAUAGCGUGCGAGUUCAAGUCUCGCCCGAGGCACCA